AGUGAACGCUGGCGGUAGGCCUAACACAUGCAAGUCGAACGGAAGCACAGGAGAGCUUGCUCUCUGGGUGGCGAGUGGCGGACGGGUGAGGGAUACAUCGGAAUCUACUCUGUCGUGGGGGAUAACGUAGGGAAACUUACGCUAAUACCGCAUACGACCUACGUGUGAAAGCAGGGGACCUUCGGGCCUUGCGCGAUUGAAUGAGCCGAUGUCGGAUUAGCUAGUUGGCGGGGUAAAGGCCCACCAAGGCGACGAUCCGUAGCUGGUCUGAGAGGAUGAUCAGCCACACUGGAACUGAGACACGGUCCAGACUCCUACGGGAGGCAGCAGUGGGGAAUAUUGGACAAUGGGCGCAAGCCUGAUCCAGCCAUACCGCGUGGGUGAAGAAGGCCUUCGGGUUGUAAAGCCCUUUUGUUGGGAAAGAAAUCCAGCUGGCUAAUACCCGGUUGGGAUGACGGUACCCAAAGAAUAAGCACCGGCUAACUUCGUGCCAGCAGCCGCGGUAA
rnacentral:rRNA from 1 species